GCCCGUCAUCUUCAACCUCCGUCCGAGAAUUUCGGCCACGCACGCCCGCGAACUGCCCACGACUCCACCUCCAAUUUCCCUGCGCUCGGGCUGUUUCCUCCAAAUCCUUGCACGUCACCCCGAAGCCCUCGCUUUUCUCCUCCACUUCCCCCAAACCGCUCGCCCGUUUUCGCACCGGUUAGAAAGUAAUUGCUCGCCGGAGUUCGUUGCUGCCACCGCCGUUUUCCGCGUUUUGCCGCCGUUCCGGUGAGUCUCCGCCCGCGCCGACCCCCUAAUCUUCCUCCUCUCUUCCUUGCGCACACUGUGACGCGAGCCGGCCGCGAUUUGGAGCUCCGCGCCUCAGUCCGCCAUCUUCCCCGGCGCCGGCCGCCGCCCGCCGCCGUGCUCCGCCCGUCCGCGCGCCGCCUCCCCCUCCCGCUCCGCGCCGCCGCGCCGCCCCCGCGACCCGCCGCCCGGAACCCUAGAUCCCGGCCUAUCCCACGCUGCCACGUGGCAAUUUUUUUUAUUUUUAUUUUAUUUCAGCCGAAUUGGAUAAUGUAAUUUUGCAGAAAAGCCCCUACACCUUCAAAAAACUUUAAACCGUUUGUCCAAAAAUUGUGUUCCGCACCUUUCUGGAAUCGUCACAACGUGUUGAAUAUUUUGGCACUGUUUAAUUUCAGUUUUGAAUAACUUAGAGAGUAGCUAUUUACAGAAUGGUGGUUUAUGGUUUAAAUUUCAAAUGAAUUGUUUCAAAAUAGUUUUGAACACGUUAGCUUGCUAUAAAAUUAUUUAAACUUGUUCUCUGUCCAUUAGGACCAGAAAAGAAAUUAAUUUGUGUAUAUUCAUGGCAUACAAGUUUAAAUAUUGCCCUAUGUUGCAAAAACCACACAAUAUUUUGAUUUAAACCCUAUCCAUGUUUCAUGCAUAUUAAUUACCACUUUGAUGUUGUAUAAUCUGUCCAGACCAUUUGAAAAAACUUUUCAAAACAGAAACAAAACUUUUUACCUUGGAGGUAACCUUUGUGUGCAUCAUCAUGGCAUACGCAUCAUGGCAUGGUUUUGUGUUGAAUGUUGUGUUUAUUGUGUGUAUCUUUCUUUUAUUUUAGAUUGUGUGGAGUGUAAUCCCUUGUUGUUGUGAAGAGUGCGAGAACUAUCACAACCUUGGACAAGGCAAGUUCACUUUGAUCAUAUGCCAUUAUUAUUGUUGUUCUAAAAUACUUAUGCAUUAGUGUUGUUGGUAGAGAUGCAUUGAUAGGACUAUUACUCGUACCUCUAUGCUAGCUAUAAAUCCCAGGUAGUAUAGUUUACCCUCGCCAUUACCUUGCCACCAAAUUGCCAUCGAUUGUAGUUGAAUGCUAGGCU
rnacentral:lncRNA from 1 species